rnacentral:tRNA from 1 species
GGGCCGGUCGUCUAGUCCGCCAGGUGCGGGGAAGUUGGACUCUCAUGGAGUUCGACCCUCAAGCAUGGUUAGGACGUCGCUCUGACACGGCGAAGGUCCCCAGUUCAAAUCUGGGCCGGCCCA